AACGAACGCUGGCGGCAUGCCUAACACAUGCAAGUCGAACGAGACCUUCGGGUCUAGUGGCGCACGGGUGCGUAACGCGUGGGAACCUGCCCUUAGGUUCGGAAUAACUCCCCGAAAGGGGUGCUAAUACCGGAUAAUGUCUUCGGACCAAAGAUUUAUCGCCUUUGGAUGGGCCCGCGUUGGAUUAGCUAGUUGGUAGGGUAAAAGCCUACCAAGGCGACGAUCCAUAGCUGGUCUGAGAGGAUGAUCAGCCACACUGGGACUGAGACACGGCCCAGACUCCUUCCGGGGGCCGGAAGUGGGGAUAAUUGACAAAGGGCCAAAGCCUUAUCCAGCCAAGCCGGGGGGGUGAUUAAGGCCUUAGGGUUGUAAAGCUCUUUUACCCGGGAUGAUAAUGACAGUACCGGGAGAAUAAGCUCCGGCUAACUCCGUG
rnacentral:rRNA from 1 species